CUGUUAUCGUCCUAUAAUAAAGGCACAAGUUGACAAGUAUGUGAUAAACGGUUUUAUACAGUAUACCCUGCCAAGGCCAGCUUAUGUAUUAUGUAUAGCAAACCGCGCUGUUCUGACCCGACAGAAAACCGACACAAACGAGAAUUAGCCGUUGACAUAAUCAAGCAUGAAAAUCAUACCAAACAGACGAACAAGUACCCUACCGCACGAUCCCUCAUCGAAUGACGGGACAACCCCCGGCUAAGCUACUCCUUCAGCGAGAGAUGAGAACAAAAAUUCCAACAAUUCAUCCUACAAAAGUCAAAGAUGCAAUGCAAGUCCGGCAUAGUCUCAG